rnacentral:rRNA from 1 species
GAGGAAUAUUGGUCAAUGGACGGAAGUCUGAACCAGCCAAGUAGCGUGCAGGAUGACGGCCCUAUGGGUUGUAAACUGCUUUUGUAUGGGGAUAAAGUUAGGGACGUGUCCCUAUUUGCAGGUACCAUACGAAUAAGGACCGGCUAAUUCCGUGCCAGCAGCCGCGGUAAUACGGAAGGUCCAGGCGUUAUCCGGAUUUAUUGGGUUUAAAGGGAGCGUAGGCUGGAGAUUAAGUGUGUUGUGAAAUGUAGACGCUCAACGUCUGGAUUGCAGCGCAUACUGGUUUCCUUGAGUACGCACAACGUUGGCGGAAUUCGUCGUGUAGCGGUGAAAUGCUUAGAUAUGACGAAGAACUCCGAUUGCGAAGGCAGCUGACGGGAGCGCAACUGACGCUUAAGCUCGAAGGUGCGGGUAUCAAACAGGAUUAGAUACCCUGGUAGUCCGCACAGUAAACGAUGGAUGCCCGCUGUUGGUACCUGGUAUCAGCGGCUAAGCGAAAGCAUUAAGCAUCCCACCUGGGGAGUACGCCGGCAACGGUG